CAGUCAUACCAACGGGAAAUCAACCUUUUGAGCUUGGUUUCGUGGGUUUUGAAGAGUUUCAAAGCCUUCGGAUUCGCGAGAUUGGGAUCUCUCGGUGUACUUUCUCGUACGGUUAGUCAACAUCGGUUUUGAAUGUCAUAAAAUGACUGGAGGAAUGUAGCUUCGAUCUCGUAUUGAAGUGUUAUAGCCUUUGGUAGAUGUGAUGUUUGAGACCGAGGAUUGCAACGGAUACCCUUCAGGGCUAUUCGUCUGAUCUCUGAUACGUUGCCCUGAUGUUGAAAGCUUGCUUAUGAUGUUAGGGUAUUACGGUCAAAAGGUUAGAACGAAUUACA
rnacentral:rRNA from 1 species